rnacentral:rRNA from 1 species
UACAGAGACUGCAAGCGUUAUUCGGAUUCACUGGGCGUAAAGGGUGCGCAGGCGGCCGGGUGUGUCAGAUGUGAAAUCCCGAGGCUCAACCUCGGAACUGCGUCUGAAACUACUCGGCUAGAGUAUUGGAGAGGGUAACGGAAUUCACGGUGUAGCAGUGAAAUGCGUAGAGAUCGGGAGGAACAUCUGUGGCGAAGGCGGCCAUCUGGACCAGCACUGACACUGAGGCACGAAAGCGUGGGGAGCAAACAGG